rnacentral:rRNA from 1 species
UACGGAGGAUCCAAGCGUUAUCCGGAAUUACUGGGCGUAAAGAGUUGCGUAGGUGGUUAUGAAAGCAAAUAGUGAAAGCGUGGGGCUCAACCUCAUAUACAUUAUUUGAACUUCAUUGACUAGAGGAUGAGAGAGGUCGCUGGAAUUGCUAGUGUAGGAGUGAAAUCCGUAGAUAUUAGCAGGAACACCGAUGGCGUAGGCAGGCGACUGGCUCAUUCCUGACACUAAGGCACGAAAGCGUGGGGAGCAAACGGG